rnacentral:rRNA from 1 species
AACGAACGCUGGCGGCAUGCCUAACACAUGCAAGUCGAACGAGACCUUCGGGUCUAGUGGCGCACGGGUGCGUAACGCGUGGGAACCUGCCCUUAGGUUCGGAAUAACUCCCCGAAAGGGGUGCUAAUACCGGAUAAUGUCUUCGGACCAAAGAUUUAUCGCCUUUGGAUGGGCCCGCGUUGGAUUAGCUAGUUGGUAGGGUAAAAGCCUACCAAGGCGACGAUCCAUAGCUGGUCUGAGAGGAUGAUCAGCCACACUGGGACUGAGACACGGCCCAGACUCCUACGGGAGGCAGCAGUGGGGAAUAUUGGACAAUGGGCGAAAGCCUGAUCCAGCAAUGCCGCGUGAGUGAUGAAGGCCUUAGGGUUGUAAAGCUCUUUUACCCGGGAUGAUAAUGACAGGACCGGGAGAAUAAGCUCCGGCUAACUCCG